rnacentral:rRNA from 1 species
UACGUAGGGUGCGAGCGUUGUCCGGAAUUAUUGGGCGUAAAGAGCUCGUAGGCGGUGUGUCACGUCGGCCGUGAAAACCUGCAGCUUAACUGUGGGCGUGCGGUCGAUACGGGCAUCACUGGAGUUCGGCAGGGGAGACUGGAAUUCCUGGUGUAGCGGUGAAAUGCGCAGAUAUCAGGAGGAACACCGGUGGCGAAGGCGGGUCUCUGGGCCGAUACUGACGCUGAGGAACGAAAGCCAGGGGAGCGAACGGG